rnacentral:rRNA from 1 species
AGUGAACGCUGGCGGUAGGCCUAACACAUGCAAGUCGAACGGCAGCACAGUAAGAGCUUGCUCUUACGGGUGGCGAGUGGCGGACGGGUGAGGAAUACAUCGGAAUCUACUUUUUCGUGGGGGAUAACGUAGGGAAACUUACGCUAAUACCGCAUACGACCUACGGGUGAAAGCAGGGGAUCUUCGGACCUUGCGCGAUUGAAUGAGCCGAUGUCGGAUUAGCUAGUUGGCGGGGUAAAGGCCCACCAAGGCGACGAUCCGUAGCUGGUCUGAGAGGAUGAUCAGCCACACUGGAACUGAGACACGGUCCAGACUCCUACGGGAGGCAGCAGUGGGGAAUAUUGGACAAUGGGCGCAAGCCUGAUCCAGCCAUACCGCGUGGGUGAAGAAGGCCUUCUGGUUGUAAAGCCCUUUUGAUGGGAAAGAAAAGCAGCAGGUUAAUACCCCGCUGUUCUGACGGUACCCAAAGAAUAAGCACCGGCUAACUUCGUG